rnacentral:tRNA from 1 species
AGCUCAGUUGGUAGAGUGCUUGCCUAGCAUGCAGGAGGCCCUGGGUUCAAUUCCCAA